rnacentral:ncRNA from 2 species
UUUAGUUAGUCGGGGUGCUCUUUUUGAGCUGAGACUGAGGUUCGCCUCUAGACCCGUUGAACCUGACCCAGUUAAUACUGGCGUAGGGAACUGGCAAGCCUCAUCU